AAGAUGAUGUCUCCACCAUAACGAUUUACUUUGACCCGGUUGAUUUGUCAACUCUGGCGGAGGCGGCUCCAGUUACUAUCACGGUACCUGGGCCAAUUCCUUAUGACAAAGAGGAUGUCGUGCCGUGGCAUUAUGGUGGGGAAGUUUAUUGUAACGGAGAGAAGGUAGAGGAUCAAGCUGCAGGUGAAACCACCGUCUCAAAGGUGGAUAAUGCCGGACCUAGUGGUUUCACUCGCAGUGGAAGACUGUUUGCUCCUGAUACGUUGAGGGGAGGAGAAGGAGA
rnacentral:lncRNA from 1 species